rnacentral:rRNA from 1 species
UUAAAGUAGUAAGGGCGCAGGGUGGAUGCCUUGGCACUAAGAGCCGAUGAAAGACGUGAUAAGCUGCGAAAAGCUUCGGGGAGGAGCACAUAUCCAAUGAUCCGGAGAUAUCUGAAUGGGGAAACCCGGCAGAGGAAACCUCUGUCAGCGUGCAGUGAAUACAUAGCUGUACGUGGGGAACCCGGGGAACUGAAACAUCUAAGUACCCGGAGGAAGAGAAAGAAAAUUUAUCGAUUUCCAAAGUAGCGGCGAGCGAAAUGGAAAGAGCCCAAACCGUGAUGCGUGCAUCGCGGGGUUCGGACUGCGUUGUGGCAGACGUAAGAUAGGAGAACGGACUGGGAAGUCCGGCCGGAGAGAGUGAAAGCCUCGUAUCCGAAAUCCCAAGUCGCCUGGCAGGAUCCAGAGUAGGACGAGACACGAGAAACCUUGUCUGAACGAGCGGGGACCACCCCGUAAGGCUAAAUACUUCUUAGUGACCGAUAGCGCAUAGUACUGUGAAGGAAAGGUGAAAAGUACCCCGGGAGGGGAGUGAAAGAGAACCUGAAACCCUGUGUCUACAAGCUGUGGGACCUCUUUAUAUGAGGGACUGCGUACUUUUUGUAGAACGGUCCGGCGAGUUGUGCGUACUGGCGAGGUUAAGGACUUAAGGUCUGGAGCCGAAGUGAAAGCAAGCGUUAAUAGCGCGUCAAGUCAGUGAGUGCAGACCCGAAACCGGGUGACCUAUCCAUGUCCAGGUUGAAGCUUCCGUAAGAGGAAGUGGAGGACCGAACCCACAUCCGUUGAAAAGGGUGGGGAUGAGGUGUGGAUAGCGGAGAAAUUCCAAUCGAACCCGGAGAUAGCUGGUUCUCCUCGAAAUAGCUUUAGGGCUAGCCUCAUGAGAGUCUUAUGGAGGUAGAGCACUGAAUUGCCUAGGGGGCGUCAAAGCUUACCAAAGCAUAUCAAACUCCGAAUGCCAUCAAGAUGAUUCAUGGGAGUCAGACCAUACGAGAUAAGUUGGAUGGUCAAAAGGGAAAGAGCCCAGACCUACAGCUAAGGUCCCAAAGUGCGUGUUAAGUGGAAAAGGAUGUGGGGAUUCUAAGACAACUAGGACGUUGGCUUAGAAGCAGCCAUUCAUUGAAAGAGUGCGUAAUAGCUCACUAGUCGAGAGUCCCUGCGCCGAAAAUGUCCGGGGCUGAAACACGACACCGAAGCUUAGGAAUGUGUAAACAUUGGUAGAGGAGCAUUGCUAGCGGGAUGAAGCCAUACCGUAAGGAGUGGUGGACUGCUAGGAAGAGAGAAUGCCGGAAUGAGUAGCGAGAUGAAGGUGAGAAUCCUUCAGGCCGAAUAUCUAAGGUUUCCAGAGUAAAGCUGAUCUGCUCUGGGUAAGUCGGGACCUAAGGCGAGGUCGAAAGACGUAGUCGAUGGAUAACAGGUUGAAAUUCCUGUACCGCAUAUAAACAGAACUGUGGGGACACAGACAGGGAAUGGAAUCCGGGAAUGGAAAUCCCGGUGCAAGCGAGGUAGGAGUGCUGUUGGCAAAUCCGCAGCACGAUCUGAAGACGUGAUGCGUACCGAACAUAAGUAGGGAAGUCCAGGCCCCUGGCUGUCAAGAAAAGCCGCUAUUGUUUUAUAUGUGCCCGUACCGCAAACCGACACAGGUGGAUGAGGAGAGAAUCCUAAGGCCGACGGGAGAAGUAUUGUUAAGGAACUCGGCAAAAUGACUCCGUAACUUCGGGAGAAGGAGUGCCAUGAGAGUGGCCGCAGAGAAAUGGCCCAAGCAACUGUUUAGCAAAAACACAGGUCUAUGCAAAACCGCAAGGUGAAGUAUAUGGGCUGACGCCUGCCCGGUGCUGGAAGGUUAAGGGGAGAGGUUAGCGCAAGCGAAGCUUUGAACUUAAGCCCCAGUAAACGGCGGCCGUAACUAUAACGGUCCUAAGGUAGCGAAAUUCCUUGUCGGGUAAGUUCCGACCCGCACGAAAGGCGUAAUGAUUUGGGCACUGUCUCAACGAUACACCCGGUGAAAUUGAAAUACCAGUGAAGAUGCUGGUUACCUGCGCCAGGACGGAAAGACCCCAUGGAGCUUUACUCCAGUUUGAUACUGGGAUUCGGCAUGGUAUGUACAGGAUAGGUGGGAGACUGAGAAGGUAUGACGUCAGUUGUACCGGAGUCGCUGUUGGGAUACCACCCUUACCAUGUUGGAUUUCUAACCUGUGGCCGUAAGCCGGUCAGGGGACAAUGUCAGGCGGGGAGUUUGACUGGGGCGGUCGCCUCCGAAAGGGUAUCGGAGGCGCUCAAAGG